GUGUUCGCUUUGGCAGCACAUAUACUAACAUUGGAAUGAUACAGAGGAGAUUAGCAUGGCCCCUGCGCAAGGAUAACAUGCAAAUUCAUGAAGCGCUCCAUAUUUUU
rnacentral:snRNA from 1 species